ensembl:snRNA U1 U1 spliceosomal RNA
AUAUCUAGCAGGGGAAAUACCAUAGUCACAAAGAUAUUUUCCCCAUGGGGAGGCUUAGCCAUUGCACUCUGGGUGUGCUGACCCCUGUGAUGUCCCCAAGUGCUAGAAACUUGACUGCAUAAUUUUUGGUAGUGGGGGACUGCAUUUGUGUUCUUCCCUG